rnacentral:lncRNA from 1 species
CCAAAGAAAAGGAUGAUUUGUUGGCUUGAUGAGUGGACGUGGGAGGUGAUCAUCUCCCCUGCUUUUCAACCAUACAGACCCGAUGCUUGCUUGCUUGAGUAGUAUCUGCUGGAAGGUUGUCUUCUUCGGCGGGCGGUAGACGGCGGCGGUUAACUGGCUUCAACACAUUUCAGAAUAGGCUGCCAAGGAGGGUGAUGAAUUGACUUACAACCAGUCUGUCGAAUAUCUGAAGCGUCUUCUGAAGAAAUCGACGCUUGUCAUGUUGCUAACUGAAGAAAUCGACACUUGUCAUGUCGCUAACUGAAGAAAAUCGACACUUGUCAUGUUGUUAACUGAAGAAAUCGACACCCAGUUGUUCAUGCCAAAUUGAGCUCAUGUUCCUCUACUUGGGGUAAACCCUAGCAGCCAUGUCCUGGCUAUCCUUAAUUCGCUAUGUUUCUCUCGUGAUCAUCCUGUGAAUUCACUUACUUGGUCUUUGCAGAUGUGAGCAUGGAACGGAGGCACGAUAUUGAUCAUCGCCAAAUUUAGCAAUAUAGUGAAGUCCCAAGAUAUCAUCAUCACUGGAGAAGGAGGAGAAGAGCACCAUUUUUGUGCCAUCAAGCAGCUCAAGAUGCUCG